rnacentral:rRNA from 1 species
UACAGAGGGUGCGAGCGUUGUUCGGAAUUACUGGGCGUAAAGGGCUCGUAGGCGGCCAACUAAGUCAGACGUGAAAUCCCUCGGCUUAACCGGGGAACUGCAUCUGAUACUGGAUGGCUUGAGUUCGGGAGAGGGAUGCGGAAUUCCAGGUGUAGCGGUGAAAUGCGUAGAUAUCUGGAGGAACACCGGUGGCGAAGGCGGCAUCCUGGACCGACACUGACGCUGAGGAGCGAAAGCCAGGGGAGCAAAGCGGG